rnacentral:rRNA from 1 species
UACGUAGGUGGCAAGCGUUGUCCGGAUUUACUGGGCGUAAAGGGCGUGCAGGCGGUCUGUUAAGUGCAGGGUGAAAGCUCCCGGCUCAACUGGGAGAGGUCCUUGCAUACUGGCGGACUUGAGGGGGGUAGAGGAAAGUGGAAUUCCCGGUGUAGUGGUGAUAUGCGUAGAUAUCGGGAGGAACACCUGUGGCGAAAGCGGCUUUCUGGGCCCUACCUGACGCUGAGACGCGAAAGCGUGGGGAGCAAACCGG